UUAAGUUCAGCGGGUAGUCCUACCUGAUUUGAGGUCAGAGUCAAAAAUUGCCCGAGGGCGAUUGUAAGCAGUCAUCACAACCUUCACCGACGAAACUUAUUACGCCGACUACGGUGCUAUCCCGCUAAGUCUUUUAAGGUGAGCCGGCAGAAGCGGCAACACCCAAGUCCAAUUCUCCGUCGGAAGCCCGAGGGAUUGAG
rnacentral:misc_RNA from 1 species